ACUGCCACUGCCUACCAAUCUCGACCGGACCUCGACCGGCUCGUCUAUGUUGCCAACCGACUCGGCGUGGCGUCGGUCGUGGUAGAUAGGCGGUCAUACA
rnacentral:pre_miRNA from 10 species